rnacentral:rRNA from 1 species
AUUGAACGCUGGCGGCAGGCUUAACACAUGCAAGUCGAGCGGGGGCUUCGGUCCUAGCGGCGAACGGGUGAGGAAUGCCUGGGAAUCUGCCUGGUAGUGGGGGAUAACGAUUCGAAAGGGUCGCUAAUACCGCAUACGUCCUACGGGAGAAAGCAGGGGACCUUCGGGCCUUGCGCUAUCAGAUGAGCCCAGGUCGGAUUAGCUAGUAGGUGAGGUAAAGGCUCACCUAGGCGACGAUCCGUAGUUGGUCUGAGAGGAUGAUCAGCCACACUGGAACUGAGACACGGUCCAGACUCCUACGGGAGGCAGCAGUGGGGAAUAUUGGACAAUGGGCGAAAGCCUGAUCCAGCCAUGCCGCGUGUGUGAAGAAGGCCUACGGUUCGGUU